rnacentral:rRNA from 1 species
GACAGAGGGGGCAAGCGUUGCUCGGAAUUACUGGGCGUAAAGGGCGCGUAGGCGGGAUGGCAAGUCGGUCGUGAAAUCCUUCGGCUCAACCGAAGAACGUCGAUCGAUACUGCUGUUCUUGAGGGUUGCAGAGGAGACUGGAAUUCCCGGUGUAGCGGUGAAAUGUGUAGAGAUCGGGAGGAACAUCGGUGGCGAAGGCGGCCUGCUGGGCUGUUGCUGACGCUGAGGCGCGACAGCGUGGGGAGCAAACAGG